rnacentral:rRNA from 1 species
GAUCAAUGGUCUCAGGAUGAACGCUAGCUACAGGCUUAACACAUGCAAGUCGAGGGGCAGCAUGGUCUUAGCUUGCUAAGGCUGAUGGCGACCGGCGCACGGGUGAGUAACACGUAUCCAACCUGCCGUCUACUCUUGGCCAGCCUUCUGAAAGGAAGAUUAAUCCAGGAUGGGAUCAUGAGUUCACAUGUCCGCAUGAUUAAAGGUAUUUUCCGGUAGACGAUGGGGA